GUUGAAACACCGGUUCUCAUAUGAUCACCAAAGUUAAGCAACAUCAAGCCUGGUUAGUACCUAGAUUGGUAAUCACUUGGGAAUACCAGGU